rnacentral:rRNA from 1 species
CCCGCGUAAUUUAAGCAUAUUAAUAAGCGGAGGAAAAGAAACUAACAAGGAUUUCCUUAGUAGCUGCGAGCGAACAGGAAAAAGCUCAGCAUAAAAUCUUGUAACUUAACAGUUAUCAAGAGAUGUUAUGUUUAGGGAGUUUCGUUUAUCCUAUAAUGUACAUUUAGUCCAAGUCCACCUUGAAUGGGGCAUUAUCCAUAGAGGGUGCCAGCCCCGUAGUGACAAAUGUAUACAAAUCAUUAUAGGUGAAACUUUCCUUAGAGUCGGGUUGCUUGUAAAUGCAGCUCUAAGUUGGUGGUAAACUCCAUCUAAAGCUAAAUAUAACCACGAGACCGAUAGCGAACAAGUACCAUGAGGGAAAGUUGAAAAGAACUUUGAAGAGAGAGUUCAAUAGUACGUGAAACCGUUUAGGGGUAAACGGGAGAAAUCCGAAAAUCUGAAGGAAGUGAUUCACGUAUUAUCUACAUAUUAUAUUAUACUUGAUUGAUGAUUAUUAAACUCCUUGCAUGCAAUUUAUUGUAUGUUAAGGGUUCCGUUUAAUGUCACAUUUCAUAUAUAAAUAAAUAUUAUGUGGUUUACCGCAUUUCAAACCUUCCUUAAAACAGAAAACGUCGCAACCC